rnacentral:rRNA from 1 species
UUCGCAAUGCCCGAAAGGGUGACGAAGCGACGCCGCGUGCGGGAAGAAGGCCUUCGGGUUGUAAACCGCUGUCGGGAGUUAGGAAGUGCAAGGAUGUUAAUAGCGUUCUUGCUUGACUAAGGCUCCGGAGGAAGCCACGGCUAACUCUGUGCCAGCAGCCGCGGUAAUACAGAGGCGGCAAGCGUUGUUCGGAAUUAUUGGGCGUAAAGAGCACGUAGGCGGCUAUGUAAGUCGGUUGUGAAAGCCUUCCGCUCAACGGAAGAACAGCAUCCGGUACUACAUGGCUUGAGUGCGGGAGGGGAGAGUGGAACUUCUGGUGGAGCGGUGAAAUGCGUAGAUAUCAGAAGGAACGCCGGCGGCGAAAGCGGCUCUCUGGCCCAUAACUGACGCUGAGUGUGCGAAAGCUAGGGGAGCAAACGGGAUUAGAUACCCCGGUAGUCCUAGCCGUAAACGAUGGGCACUAAGUAGAGGGGUUUU